rnacentral:rRNA from 1 species
UACGUAGGGGGCAAGCGUUGUCCGGAAUCAUUGGGCGUAAAGAGCGUGUAGGCGGCCCGGUAAGUCCGCUGUGAAAGUCCAGGGCUCAACCCUGGAAUGCCGGUGGAUACUGUCGGGCUCGAGUCCGGAAGAGGCGAGUGGAAUUCCUGGUGUAGCGGUGAAAUGCGCAGAUAUCAGGAGGAACACCAAUGGCGAAGGCAGCUCGCUGGGACGGUUACUGACGCUGAGACGCGAAAGCGUGGGGAGCGAACAGG